UACAGAGGUCUCGAGCGUUAAUCGGAGUUACUGGGCUUAAAGGGUGCGUAGGCGGUUCCGUAAGUGCCUUGUGAAAUCCCAUGGCUUAACCAUGGAAUUGCUCGGUAGACUGCGGGGCUUGAGGUCAGUAGGGGUCGCUGGAACUCUAGGUGGAGCGGUGAAAUGCGUAGAUAUCUAGAGGAACGCCAAAGGUGAAGACAGGCGACUGGGCUGAAUCUGACGCUGAGGCACGAAAGCGUGGGUAGCGAAC
rnacentral:rRNA from 1 species